CCUACGGGUGGCAGCAGUGAGGAAUAUUGGUCAAUGGCCGGAAGGCUGAACCAGCCAAGCCGCGUGAAGGACGAAGGUGCCAAGCAUUGUAAACUUCUUUUGUCAAGGGACAAAAUCAGGCUCGAGAGCCUGACCGAGGGUACUUGAAGAAAAAGCAUCGGCUAACUCCGUGCCAGCAGCCGCGGUAAUACGGAGGAUGCGAGCGUUAUCCGGAUUUAUUGGGUUUAAGGGGUGCGUAGGCGGAACAUUAAGUCAGCGGUAAAAUCGAGGGGCUCAACCCCUUUAAGCCGUUGAAACUGGUGAUCUUGAGUGGGCGAGAAGUAUGCGGAAUGCGUGGUGUAGCGGUGAAAGGCAUAGAUAUCACGCAGAACUCCGAUUGCGAAGGCAGCAUACCGGCGCCCGACUGACGCUGAGGCACGAAAGCGUGGGGAUCGAACAGGAUUAGAUACCCCAGUAGUC
rnacentral:rRNA from 1 species